UACGGAGGGAGCUAGCGUUAUUCGGAAUUAUACGUGGCGUAAAGCGCACGUAGGCGGAUAUUUAAAGUCAGGGGUGAAAUCCCAGAGCUCAACUCUGGAACUGCCUUUGAUACUGGGUAAUCUCGAGUCCGGAAGAGGUUGGUGGAACUGCGAGUGUAGAGGUGAAAUUCGUAGAUAUUCGCAAGAACACCAGUGGCGAAGGCGGCCAACUG
rnacentral:rRNA from 1 species